rnacentral:rRNA from 1 species
UACGUAGGGUGCAAGCGUUGUCCGGAAUUAUUGGGCGUAAAGAGCUUGUAGGCGGUUUGUCGCGUCUGCUGUGAAAUUUCGGGGCUCAACCCCGAACUUGCAGUGGGUACGGGCAGACUAGAGUGUGGUAGGGGAGACUGGAAUUCCUGGUGUAGCGGUGAAAUGCGCAGAUAUCAGGAGGAACACCAGUGGCGAAGGCGGCUAUCUGGGCUUAAACUGACGCUGAGGCGCGAAGGCUAGGGGAGCGAACAGG